rnacentral:rRNA from 1 species
AUUGAACGCUGGCGGCAGGCCUAACACAUGCAAGUCGAACGGCUGAACAGUAAUCGCUCGCUGUUUCGGGGGGCGACGGGCGGGUGAGUAAUAAGUACAUCGCAGUCUGUGUGUUCUUGGGUGAGGACGUGGGGAAUCUUACGGUAUUACCGCCGACGGCCUACGGGUGGGAGCUGUGGAUCUUAGGACAUCGCGUGAUUGUAUGUGCCGAUGUCGGAUUAGCUAGUUGGUGGGGUAAAGGCCCACCAAGGCGACGAUGCGUAGCUGGUCUGAGAGGAUGAUCAGCCACACUGGAACGGAGACACGGUCCAGACGCCUACGGGAGGCAGCAGUGGGGAAUAUGGGACAAUGGGCGAAAGCCUGAUCCAGCCAUGCCGCGUGUGUGAAGAAGGUCUUCGGGUUGUAAAGCCCUUUUGUUGGGAAAGAAAAGCAGUAAGUUAAUACCACGCUGUUGUGACGGUACCAACAGAAUAAGCACCGGCUAACUUCGUG